rnacentral:tmRNA from 1 species
CCCCUUUGCAAAACCCCGGUGGCGCAUUAUAUUAGUGGUGCCGGUUUACCGGCUAUGGCGAUAAACGCUAUGUGGAAUAAACGUUACGGACCCGGGGGCAGUGCCCGGCGCCUCCACCAUUUCCUUUCGCCGCAUACCGAGCCGUGCGGCAUCUCAAUGGGGGCGAAACAGGAUCGACGUGCGCAGUAAAGACAUAGUUUUCUCCCGGCAUGGUACCGCCGUUAUCGGACCAAAAUCUCAAAUGCCAACGAUAACAAGGCAUUUGCUGUAGCGGCCUAAGGUCGUUACAACGGGGUUCGGGGGGCACCUGGCAACAGAAGCCCCCCACU